GUUUGAAAUAUUUGUUGAUGUCUGCAUCUCGUAAGAUAUCGGAAGCCGUCUGACUUGGCCACAUCGCUCGGAAGUCCGAAGUACUAGAAAAAACCGCCAUCUGCUACCUUAAGACAUUUGUCAAUUUUUGUCUGCAUCUCGUAAGAUAUCGGAAGCCGUCUGACUUGGCCACAUCGCUCGGAAGUCCGAAGUACUAGAAAAAACCGCCAUCUGCUACCUUAAACAUUUGUCAAUUUUUGUCUGCAUCUCGUAAGAUAUCGGAAGCCGUCUGACUUGGCCACAUCGCUCGGAAGUCCGAAGUACUAGAAAAAACCGCCAUCUGCUACCUUAAGACAUUUGUCAAUUUUUGUCUGCAUCUCGUAAGAUAUCGGAAGCCGUCUGACUUGGCCACAUCGCUCGGAAGUCCGAAGUACUAGAAAAAACCGCCAUCUGCUACCUUAAGACAUUUGUCAAUUUUUGUCUGCAUCUCGUAAGAUAUCGGAAGCCGUCUGACUUGGCCACAUCGCUCGGAAGUCCGAAGUACUAGAAAAAACCGCCAUCUGCUACCUUAAGACAUUUGUCAAUUUUUGUCUGCAUCUCGUAAGAUAUCGGAAGCCGUCUGACUUGGCCACAUCG